AGUCGGYCCCAAGGGUUGGGCUGUUCGCCCAUUAAGCGGUACGCGAGCUGGGUUCAGAACGUCGUGAGACAGUUCGGUCCCUAUCCGUCGCGGGCGUAGGAAAUUGAGAGGAGCUGUCCUUAGUACGAGAGGACCGGGAUGGACGCACCGCUGGUGUACCAGUUGUCCCGCCAGGGGCACAGCUGGGUAGCUAUGUGCGGAAGGGAUAAGCGCUGAAAGCAUCUAAGCGUGAAGCCCCCCUCAAGAUGAGAUUCCCAUCGCGUCAAGCGAGUAAGAUCCCUUGAAGAUGACAAGGUAGAUAGGUCCGAGGUGGAAGCGUGGCGACACGUGUAGCUGACGGAUACUAAUCGAUCGAGGACUUAACUAAA
rnacentral:rRNA from 2 species